CAGCCGCCGCGGUAACACGAAGGGUGCAAGCGUUAAUCGGAAUUACUGGGCGUAAAGCGUGCGUAGGCGGUUUGUUAAGUCUGUUGUGAAAGCCCUGGGCUCAACCUGGGAAUUGCAGUGGAUACUGGAUCACUAGAGUGUGGUAGAGGAUAGUGGAAUUUCCGGUGUAGCAGUGAAAUGCGUAGAGAUCGGAAGGAACAUCCGUGGCGAAGGCGACUAUCUGGGCCAACACUGACACUGAGGCACGAAAGCGUGGGGAGCAAACAGGAUUAGAUACCCCAGUAGUCCCUGUCUCUUAUAU
rnacentral:rRNA from 1 species